rnacentral:rRNA from 1 species
CCCUUAGACACUCUAGGCGGCACGCGCGCUACAAUGGGUGGAAGAACGUGUUACUGCCUCCGAAAGGAGGGGUGAAUCACGAAUUCUUGCCCGUGAAUGGGAUAGUUUGUUGCAAUUUUCGGACUUGAACUAGGAAUCCCUUGUAAACAUGCUCAAGAAUAGCGUGUUGAAUACGUCCCUGCCGUUUGUACACACCGCCCGUCGUUUCUUCCGACUGAUACUCAUUGUGAGUUGCAAGGACCCUUUAUUGGGAAAUUGCUGCAAAUGCUUUGUAUUGGAGGAAGAAAAAGUCAUAACA